AAUUUGUUCUAAUCUUAUGAGAUGGAUAUGUUCAAGCUUCUAGUUUCACAAUGUGAUAAUUUUAAAUAAUUGUUUUUGUAAUCAAAGUAUGAAUUUUAUGAUUUUAUAUUUCAUUCUAAUUUCUUAAAAAUAAUGUUGGUUGUUUUUGUAGAAUUAUUUUAUAAAUACAUAUUGUAAAAUCUCUAUGUUAUAUGAAAAAAUAUCUUUUAAAAUUUAAAUCCCAAUAAAAAUAUGACAAUACAAUUAUUUUGAUAUUGCAUUGUGUUAUUUGAAGCUUGAAAAUAGGCCAUCUUUAAAAUUAGAACUAAU
rnacentral:pre_miRNA from 1 species